AUGUCCAUCCCUCCGGCCCUAUAUGUACGGGGCCGGCCCUGUUUUAGGGUUAGCAAACCCUUCCCCCUCCGCCGCAAUCCGCCCACUCUGCCGCUAGCCUUCCCCAACUCCAGCGACAAAUCUUGCCGCAUCUCCUCCGUUUUUUCUUCUCCUCGAUGGCCGGUGGUGCUGGCGGGCGUGGCGGCCGAGGCGGGUCGCCUCUGCGCAAGCUCGCAUGACACUACGCGGAGGCCAGCAGCUCCAGCCUGCCCGCCGUCGAGCCAUGUUGCUCGAAGCAAGUGCGUGACGGUGGGCUGCUCUCCCGGCGGGUCGAGCCCUUGGGCCGGCUUCCACGAGCUCCACGAGCAACUCUUUCCGCAUUUCCAGAGGUGCCGGGAGGCCGAUGCGAGCUCGUCGCCUCGGAGAAAGCUUUGGCGGCCGGAGAAGAAGGUGCCGCCGACCAUCUCAUCGCCACCAAGGAGGUGCACGACCUUGCCAAUGCGCUCCGCAAGACCGUCACCAAGUUCUACCUCGGCGUUGACGAGUGACCGGUGA
rnacentral:rRNA from 1 species